UACGUAGGGGGCAAGCGUUGUCCGGAUUUAUUGGGCGUAAAGAGCGCGCAGGCGGUCGUUCAAGUCGCGUGUGAAAGCCCCCCGGCUCAACUGGGGAGGGUCACGCGAUACUGAUCGACUCGAAGGCAGGAGAGGGAAGUGGAAUUCCCGGUGUAGUGGUGAAAUGCGUAGAUAUCGGGAGGAACACCAGUGGCGAAGGCGACUUCCUGGCCUGUUCUUGACGCUGAGGCGCGAAAGCUAGGGGAGCAAACGGG
rnacentral:rRNA from 1 species